rnacentral:rRNA from 1 species
UACGGAGGUUGCAAGCGUUGUUCGGAAUGACUGGGCGUAAAGGGAGCGCAGGCGGCCAAGUCAGUCUGAAGUGAAAGCCCGGGGCUUAACCCCGGAAUAGCUUUGGAUACUGCCUGGCUUGAGUGUGCGAUAGGAAAGCGGAAUUCCAGGUGUAGCGGUGAAAUGCGUAGAUAUCUGGAGGAACACCGGUGGCGAAAGCGGCUUUCUGGCGCAUAACUGACGCUGAGGCUCGAAAGCGUGGGGAGCGAACGGGAUUAGAUACCCCGGUAGUCCCU